ACACCAUCCACCACCAUUCAUUAAAAUUGCUAAAAAAUAUUAUCACUCACUGUCCCAAGUGUUGUUAUUCUCUCUAUCUAAAAAGACUCAUUGUAGAAGAGGCAUGGGCUAUGCAAAAAUAUGCGAGGAAAUAAAAAGGGGCAAGUGCCCGGAACCUCGAAAAAGAAAUAAAAAGAGUGAGACGAGAGGUAAAAAUGGACAAGUGUCCGGAGUAGAAUUAGGGGUACAAAGAUGCCCACU
rnacentral:lncRNA from 1 species